rnacentral:rRNA from 1 species
AACGAACGCUGGCGGCAGGCUUAACUCAUGCAAGUCGAGCGCCCCGCAAGGGGAGCGGCAGACGGGUGAGUAACGCGUGGGAAUCUACCCAUCUCUACGGAAUAACGUAUGGAAACGUGUGCUAAUACCGUAUACGUCCUUCGGGAGAAAGAUUUAUCGGAGAUGGAUGAGCCCGCGUUGGAUUAGCUAGUUGGUGGGGUAAAGGCCUACCAAGGCGACGAUCCAUAGCUGGUCUGAGAGGAUGAUCAGCCACACUGGGACUGAGACACGGCCCAGAGUACAACGGCAGGCAGAAGUGGGGAAUAUGGGACAAUGGGCGCAAGCCUGAUCCAGCCAGGCCGCGUGGGUGAUGAAGGCCCUAGGGUUGUAAAGCUCUUUCACAGGUGAAGAUAAUGACGGUAACCGGAGAAGAAGCCCCGGCUAACUUCGUGCCAGCCGCCGCCGUAAUAC